ACGACUCUCGGCAACGGAUAUCUCGGCUCUCGCAUCGAUGAAGAACGCAGCGAAAUGCGAUACUUGGUGUGAAUUGCAGAAUCCCGUGAACCAUCGAGUUUUUGAACGCAAGUUGCGCCCGAAGCCUUUGGCCGAGGGCACGUCUGCCUGGGUGUCACGCAACAU
rnacentral:rRNA from 1 species